GGGGGUGAAUUGGAUUCGACGUUGAGUGUUGAGGCGUCGGAAGCGAGCCGAGGUCUCCGGAGCCUCGUUAAAGAGCCGGAAAACAAACACAAGUGCCGAAGACAACUUCGCACUGGCUGCCUAAAUAACGCAGCCCGUCCGCCCGGUGGGCGCCUGCCUCGCCGGAAUCGGGCGUCGCAAUGCAGGAUGCGUCCUCCGGGGUCCGGGACCGGAGGGCAAAGAUUGAUCCCGGAUAGGUAGCCGGGAAGCCCGCCGUUGGGGUCCUGGCUCCCGAAAGCUCGCCGACGGCUGCGCUCGGAGAUGCCGACGCUAACGACUCAACGGACCCGGGUUCGACCCCCGGCACCUCCAA
rnacentral:tmRNA from 2 species